rnacentral:rRNA from 1 species
UACGUAGGGACCAAGCGUUGUUCGGAUUUACUGGGCGUAAAGGGCGCGUAGGUGGCCCGGUCAGUUCGUGGUGAAAGCGCGGGGCUCAACCCUGCGUCGGCCAUGAAUACUGCCGCGGCUGGAGCACUGUAGAGGCAGGCGGAAUUCCGGGUGUAGCGGUGGAAUGCGUAGAGAUCCGGAAGAACACCGGUGGCGAAGGCGGCCUGCUGGGCAGUUGCUGACACUGAGGCGCGACAGCGUGGGGAGCAAACGGG